rnacentral:rRNA from 1 species
UGAGUAACACGUGAGUGACCUGCCUUUUAGACUGGAACAACUUACCGAAAGGUGAGCUAAUGCCGGAUGAGUUAUAUAAGUGCAUGUUUAUAUAGGAAAAGUUGGGGAGACCUGACGCUGAAAGAUGGACUCGCGUCCCAUUAGCUAGUUGGUAGGGUAAUGGCCUACCAAGGCGACGAUGGGUAGCCGGCCUGAGAGGGUGGCCGGCCACACUGGGACUGAGACGCGGCCCAGACUCCUACGGGAGGCAGCAG